rnacentral:rRNA from 1 species
GGCUACCUGAUUGCUUAUUGCACCACAUGUGUUUUUCUUUGAAACAAACUUGCUUUGGCGGUGGGCCCAGCCUGCCGCCAGAGGUCUAAACUUACAACCAAUUUUUUAUCAACUUGUCACACCAGAUUAUUACUAAUAGUCAAAACUUUCAACAACGGAUCUCUUGGUUCUCGCAUCGAUGAAGAACGCAGCGAAAUGCGAUACGUAAUAUGAAUUGCAGAUAUUCGUGAAUCAUCGAAUCUUUGAACGCACAUUGCGCCCUCUGGUAUUCCGGAGGGCAUGCCUGUUUGAGCGUCGUUUCUCCCUCAAACCGCUGGGUUUGGUGUUGAGCAAUACGACUUGGGUUUGCUUGAAAGACGGUAGUGGUAAGGCGGGAUCGCUUUGACAAUGGCUUAGGUCUAACCAAAAACAUUGCUUGCGGCGGUAACGUCCACCACGUAUAUCUUCAAACUUUGACCUCAAAUCAGGUAGGACUACCCGCUGAACUUAAGCAUAUCAAAAGGCCGGAGGAA